rnacentral:rRNA from 1 species
AGAGUUGAUCUGGCUCAGGAGUGAACGCUGGCGGCACGCCUAACACAUGCAAGUCGAACGGAGUUAAGAGAGCUUGCUUUUAAACUUAGUGGCGGACGGGUGAGUAACACGUGAGCAACCUGCCUUCAGAGAGGGAUAGCUUCUGGAAACGGAUGGUAAUACCUCAUAACAUACAGAAUCGGCAUCGUUUCUGUAUCAAAGAUUUAUCGCUGAAAGAUGGGCUCGCGUCUGAUUAGCUUGUUGGUGAGGUAACGGCCCACCAAGGCAACGAUCAGUAGCCGGACUGAGAGGUUGAACGGCCACAUUGGGACUGAGACACGGCCCAGACUCCUACGGGAGGCAGCAGUGGGGAAUAUUGCACAAUGGGCGCAAGCCUGAAUGCAGCGAUGCCGCGUGAGGGAAGAAGGUUUUCGGAUUGUAAACCUCUGUCAUCGGGGACGAAAAUGACGGUACCCGAGAAGGAAGCUCCGGCUAACUACGUGCCAGCAGCAGC